rnacentral:lncRNA from 1 species
CUGAACUUUCCACUACUCCUGAACUGUCCAACACUACUGAACACAAUGCACCUACUGAACAGUCCACUAUUACUACUGAGCUGUCCAUAAUUACUACUGAACAUACUACAGCUUCUUCUGAACUGUUCAGCACUACAGCUGACCACACCUUGGCAUCUAAUGAACUGUCUUCAACGGAACAUAGCAGACCUUCUUCUGAUCUGUCCACGAAUACCACACCAUCUCCUGGAUUGUCCAUUGCUAGUACUGAACUUAACAAAGCUUAUACUGAAUUGUCAUCUAUCACUACUCAGUAUACAACACCUUCUGUUCAGCAUUUCACAACUCCUGCUCAACAUUCCAUAACAUCUAGUCAGCAUAAAACUUCUACAAUACAGUCCAUAGCUUCUGCUGAGCAUGUUAGAGCUUCUGCUGAACAUUUCAUAACUUCUACACAGCAGGCUUCAGCUUCUACUGAACAUACCAAAACUUCUACUCAGCAUACCACAGUUUCUGCUGAACACAAGACAGCGUCUACUGCUCCAUCCACUACUAUUACUGAAUACACCACAGCUUCUACUAAACACACCUCAGCUUCUACUCAGCAUACCGCAGCUUUUAUUGAACAUAACACAGUGUCUAAUUUGUCCAGUGGUCAGAUUGAACACUCUACUGUUUCUUCUGUGCUGUCCACUAUAUCUGAACAUACCACAGCUUACACUGGACUUUCUAAUGGUGAACGUACUAUAGCAUUUACUGGACUGUCCACUUCCACAAAACAUACCACUGCUCCUGCUGUACGGUCCACCUAUACUACCACUAAAAACAACACUUUUUCAGAAAAGACCACUCCCAUUGAACAUAGCACAGCACCUACUAGACUGUCCACUGCUUCUGUAGACACUACGGGGGCUACUGAACUGUCAGUUUCUACACUAGACUAUAUAACUCAAUUUCCAGAGCUGAGGGAGCUAUCAACUAGUUCUACAGAAUGGAUCCACAGUAUAGCUAAACUAUUCCCUGCCAUCAAAGUUCCUGUUAGUACCACUCAGCUACCCCCGACUACAAUAUUUCAAUCACCCAUUAGCACUCAACUUACUACUCAACUCGAGUCUACCACCACUUCCAAAGAGCUCCCAACUCUUCCAAAUAUGCCCUCCAG